GGCAGUGCCGGGAGAGCGACCCGGUAUCUGGCGGAAGAGUCCUCUGUUGAGAGCGAUCAACAGAGGACUUUUCUUAAUACUGAAAUCUGAAUUUAAGUAGUGCAUAUGGACGGUUUGCCUGUGCACUCAGGAACGUAUUCAGGUGGAUACCGCAUCGCUCGGGGAGGACAAGUUCCUCCUCGCGGUUCCCGUCUUU
rnacentral:sRNA from 1 species